GAUGAACGCUGGCGGCGUGCCUAAUACAUGCAAGUCGAGCGAACGGACGAGAAGCUUGCUUCUCUGAUGUUAGCGGCGGACGGGUGAGUAACACGUGGAUAACCUACCUAUAAGACUGGGAUAACUUCGGGAAACCGGAGCUAAUACCGGAUAAUAUUUUGAACCGCAUGGUUCAAAAGUGAAAGACGGUCUUGCUGUCACUUAUAGAUGGAUCCGCGCUGCAUUAGCUAGUUGGUAAGGUAACGGCUUACCAAGGCAACGAUGCAUAGCCGACCUGAGAGGGUGAUCGGCCACACUGGAACUGAGACACGGUCCAGACUCCUACGGGAGGCAGCAGUAGGGAAUCUUCCGCAAUGGGCGAAAGCCUGACGGAGCAACGCCGCGUGAAUGAUGAAGGUCUUCGGAUCGUAAAACUAUGUUAUUAGGGAAGAACAUAUGUGUAAGUAACUGUGCACAUCUUGACGGUACCUAAUCAGAAAGCCACGGCUAACUACGUG
rnacentral:rRNA from 1 species